AAUGAACGCUGGCGGCAUGCCUAACACAUGCAAGUCGAACGAGACCUUCGGGUCUAGUGGCGCACGGGUGCGUAACGCGUGGGAAUCUGCCCUUGGGUUCGGAAUAACUCGCCGAAAGGCGUGCUAAUACCGGAUGAUGACGUAAGUCCAAAGAUUUAUCGCCCAAGGAUGAGCCCGCGUAGGAUUAGCUAGUUGGUGGGGUAAAGGCCCACCAAGGCGACGAUCCUUAGCUGGUCUGAGAGGAUGAUCAGCCACACUGGGACUGAGACACGGCCCAGACUCCUACGGGAGGCAGCAGUGGGGAAUAUUGGACAAUGGGCGAAAGCCUGAUCCAGCAAUGCCGCGUGAGUGAUGAAGGCCUUAGGGUUGUAAAGCUCUUUUACCCGGGAUGAUAAUGACAGUACCGGGAGAAUAAGCCCCGGCUAACUCCGUGACAGCCGCCGCAGUAAAAC
rnacentral:rRNA from 1 species